rnacentral:tRNA from 1 species
UAUUAUAUAGUUUAAUAAAAUAUUAAUUUUGUAAAUUAAAGAUAAAUAAAAUUUUAUAAUAA